rnacentral:rRNA from 1 species
ACUCCUACGGGAGGCAGCAGUGGGGAAUAUUGGACAAUGGGCGAAAGCCUGAUCCAGCAAUGCCGCGUGAGUGAUGAAGGCCCUAGGGUUGUAAAGCUCUUUUACCCGGGAGAUAAUGACUGAUACCGGGAGCAAGUAAGACCCCGGUCUAACUCCGUGCCAGCAGCCGCGGUAAUACGGAGGGGGCUAGCGUUGUUCGGAAUUUACU